GUGAAAAUAUCGGUGUCACGAUCGGCGUUUCUGCCAAUUACCGAUAAUACCUACUUAUGUAAUUAUUGAUCAUAGGAUUUUAACCAGAAUUUUAGAGUGGAUAUCGCCGCUUUUCGUUAUUAAUUGCAAGGAACUUGGCCCAGAAAUGUUCUUGACAUUUGAGCAGAAAGAAUAGGAAGAUCGGGCUGGAGGUGCACCUGACUUGGACAUUAGCCAAGCAGCCUAUGUGUCACCUGCAGUAUGCUGAGUUGGCGUCGCAGCACACAGCGGGAGGAAUCUCUCCUUUUUCUCAUGAUCGCAGGAAUGAAUCUGGUCACCAAAGUCACCAGCAGAAACAAGCCAGCUAAUUGAGCAAGAUGUACUCUCAUA